UACGUAGGGUGCAAGCGUUAUCCGGAAUGAUUGGGCGUAAAGCGUCCGCAGGUGGCUUUGUAAGUCUGCUGUUAAAGAGUGAGGCUCAACCUCAUAAGAGCAGUGGAAACUACAAGGCUAGAGUACGUUAGGGGCAGAGGGAAUUCCUGGUGUAGCGGUGAAAUGCGUAGAGAUCAGGAAGAACACCGGUGGCGAAAGCGCUCUGCUAGGCCGUAACUGACACUGAGGGACGAAAGCUAGGGGAGCGAAUGGG
rnacentral:rRNA from 1 species